UAUCCGCUGUACGCACGUGGCCAAGGGAAGAUCGCCACACCCACGCCUUUUCCGCGUGGACAUUCAGCCAAGAUGUGGAACUGGCCUAAGGGCUGCAGCGGUUGUCAACGUGGUCAGGGCUCGGCUUGCAAGGCGGAAGGCAGUGCGCUCGCACGGAUAGGGCCCGCCGAAGGAUCCUCUUCGCUCUUCUUACAUGGCACUGCUUGAAUCGAAGCUGGUCUCGGGUGUGCCACCACGUGGCGGGACGGUGCUGGCCGGAAACUGCUGAAAGGCCUCUGAGCACCUUCACGCCAAAGCAGCCGCAGCCGCAGCGGCUACUCUCUCCAUACACAGACAACAGAGACCGACUCGAGGCCGAUCUCCUGCCCCUCGACCCCAGAGUAUUGCUGCGCUGUGCACGCCUGCAUCCCUCCGCAGCCACGCCAGGAGGCAACCUUGCGCACUUGGCGCGGGAGGUGCACACGCCGGAUGGCGGUGUCGUCACAACGCUUCCGCAGAUCUUACGCCGGUGUGCAGGCAUUGACACACCUCGGAGCUGCGCAUGCAUGCACAGCCGUCGCGUGUACACCAGCAUAUCACUCCCUGGCGGGCUGUGGGAGCACAUCUCAGAGGACCGAAAACCAGCAGCACGCAGGCAGCAACUCUCUCGUUUUUCGAAGCGCCCUUAUUGAUGGCAUACUGCAGCGCACCGGAGGCACAAGCGCUGGCGCGAUUGGCAUGUCGCGUGCGCCUCCGAUUUCAGCCUGCCUUUUCGCACCGCGAAUUGGAACACAAGGAAAGAGUGCACAGACUUUCGAAAUAGGCAGCGCCGGAGGCGCCAUCACCAACUGCAUGGACCACGGCCCGGUUACCGGUCCCUGACGCCGAGCCGACAUCCCCCGAAACCUCGCCGCACGACGCGACACGCGACGCCAAGAGCUACUUGGCGGCAACUGCUCCACACCGAACAGGAGCGCUGAGCUUACAAGGCGAUAGGAGACCGUUCUCACCUAGCUGCGCACGAGCACUUGUCCGCACUUUAGUUUCCUGCAGCAGCGGAUGACGAGCAGUGGCGGGAUGGAGUGCAGGUGAUGUACUGCCCACUACUACGCUGGCGCUGCGGUGCACCCCUUUCCCCCACCCCGCCCCCGCCAGAGCCACCAGCCUCGCCUGUGCUUUCCUGCGAGGGCGUCCGACCCGGCGUGGUGCCCUGCAUGCCACGCGUGAUUUGCGGAUCGCUUGACGCUCUAAGCACACCUCUCUUUACGCUGCAUGGGCUUCCGACGUCGGGUGUCUGUGGCUGUCCCCUCUGUGCGCAGGCACAUGCUUGUGCACGGGCCCCGCCGCUUGACACACCUGCUCCUGUCCAGGGCCUGCAGACGCAGGAGAGGGUGGAAUGCCUCCCGCCGCCACGGACGCACAGCAGCGUCCCACCUGUAACACCCGUCGUGGUACGUGCGGGUGGGUCAUCCCGACCCCUUCCCCCAAAGAAGCGACGGAAGAGGACAGAGAGUGACCCGCGCGGCAACAACGUCCUGAAACAAGCCCCGAGAUCCAGUAGUGCGAGCACUGUGUGUGCACACACUGGCAGUCAAACCUAGCAUGACUCAUCCCAUCGAAACGAAGCAUGCAGAUGUGAGAAGUGCACGGGUGAUCGACGGAGAAGGCGCACGCGUGCGAAACAUGCGGCACCUCCUACACCCGACCGGGUGGGCUGAUGAAACACCGAUGUCGGAAACAUGGCGAGAGCGCCGUGAAUAGCACCGUCGAAUUCUGCAGACCCGAAUGCCACGAGCCCCCAGGCCAUGCUAUGGGAUACUGCGGCGUGAUGCGACUGUGCGGGAUGGGGCGGGCGAGGCAUGGCACACAGGCGGGGCGCAGGGGCUCGGGGGGCCCUGGCCUGCGGCUGCCCAACUUUCUUCCUGAGCUCACCCGACAUGCGCCUGGACCCCGCCCCCUGCUGCCCUGCACGGAAGGCGCCACCUCUUGCUGCCCUCCGGCGGUGGACCCUGGGCGCGGCCCGCGUGGGUCAAGGCGUGCGGUGCCCCUCGAGUUUUCAUCUGGCGCCGAUCGCGCCGCACGCAUGCAAGGAAAGGACGAGGAAGGACAGUAGGAGACCGUUGGAUGCGUGGCCCCAAUUCGACGGCAGGGAGUGUUUUUCCUGGGCGGCCGGGAUUCCAGUCGCAGCGCACCGGGAGGUGGGUGAGCUGUGACUGCGCGCGUGCACGUUUUGCGGGAUCGUUCGUGGCAGAGCGGGCCUCAGCGAGGGCGAAGACGAAAGGAGAUGCCCUUCUUGUUGUCGUGUGCGUCACCUCGUGGGUUUUCAGCACCCCUCUUUUUUUUUUCGGUGUCGUUUUACCGUUUCGCUCGCUCGCUCCUCCUUCUCCAUCCUUUUCCCGUCACGUUCGUCAUUGGCCCACAUGUGUGCCUAAAGGUUGACUGCUUCCGAGUCGUCGACGAGCUGUGCGCCUGCGUGGUCACUGUUGGUUUAUAUGUUUGGUGCAUGCAAACAUGAGCACCCCGCGAGCACUCUAUCGCCUCCUCCCUUCUGCUAUGUAUCUCUCACUCUCCCUCUGAGGCGCGCGAGGGAGAGAGGGGGAGAGAUGCUGCCCUGCACAUAAGCACACAAAACACGCGGCAGAGGGAGGCACUGAGAGGGAGUGUUUGUGUGUGUGCGUGCGUAACGUCUUUUCUGUUUGUUCUCUCUCUUGCUUGUGUGCCUGUGUAUAUGUCUCGAUACGCUCUCCUCCUCCCACCACACACACCUCCUCUCUUCCUCCCCCAUCCCUCUGAUCUUUCCGAUGAUGUACAUGCUGCUUGUCGUGUUUUGUGCAUUCUCAUGCUGCUCAUGCUGAUCUGUAUUUUUGCGUGGGAGGUGCGCGCUUUUCCUUUUUUGAUUACUUUGCUGUUAAUGGCUCCCCCCUCCCUCCCACCACCACCACCUUCCAUGUUGUUUUUUUUCCGUCGUCUGCUCCUCCGUCACGCCUUCAACUCACCGUCUUGUGGGACCGUCACCACUAAGCUCUACAAGCAAACACAAAAGCAUAAAGCACAAGGAAGGUAGUAAGAAGGGCAUGAUGUGUAUAUGUAUGUGUGUGUGUGUGUGUGCCAUUGCCUGUCUGCGACCCGUGCCUGAUGCCGGCUGUCACCGCCGCCGUCGUGCCGUCCAUGCGUGCAGGUGGAGCGCCUAGUCAGAGUCUGUCUGCGCUCGCCUCUCUCGCCUGCCUGUCGUCCUCUCCUUUCUCUUCCGGCAUCCCGCCUCUACGGCGUGAGGUAAUGGAAGUAACGAGAUCAUAUAGUGUGCAUCUAGGUGGCUCAGUGCCAGUC
rnacentral:misc_RNA from 1 species